GGACGUUCUACCUUUAACUCUUUGUCUAUAAAUAGACAUCAAACAUUGUAGCACGAAGCGAAUACUUCGGUGGUUCCCCAGUUCUCUCUUGGUUCCACUGCCUCACAACACAAUUUGUUUGGUUGAAUAUUUUCCUUCAUCUUCUUCUUUUUUGCCUUUCUUCAGUUCUCUUUAUCGACCUAAACAGGAAUUCGAAGAGUUCAAGGAAUUUGACCUGAAAAAAGAUGGUUCUUGAAUCAUUGUCAUCCCCUCAUAGGAGAAGCCAAACCGUGAUUCUUGUAUCACCCCCACCGGAGAAGCAGUCGCCGAUAGGUGGCCAAGAAUUUGAUAGUUGGUCCAUUCUGCUCCAACGGCACAGGUUUCUCCUGACGAUGCUAACGCUCUUGGCAAUCCUGUGCACCAUCUAUCUCUAUUUCGCGAUCACUUUUGGCGUGGCUAUAGAUUCGUGUUCAGUUUUGUCAGGGGCUAAGAAGGCACUGUGCCAAGCCAAAGCUUUGGAAGUCAAGAAGUUUAAGCCAUGAUCGGAGCCUACGAGUUCAGAUCGAGAUGUCUCAAUAUUUUUUCCUUGAAAAAAAAGGAACACAAUAUAUGGAUCUUGAUGCCAAGUCAAAACUUUGGAAGUCAAGAAGUUUAAGCCAUGAUCGGAGCCUACGAGUUCAGAUCGAGAUGUCUCAAUAUUUUUUCCUUGAAAAAAAAGGAACACAAUAUAUGGAUCUUAAUCUGUCUAUAUGACACUUCUUUCUUGUGUU